GGAUGGUAGAGUAUGCGCAUAGUUAAUUGUGAUUGCGAGCGAGUGUACCGUGAAGGAUGCAGGAAAGAAAAGGUUCGCCUGUUACAUUCAUAAACGGUGCCUCUGCAGCUGGAUGUCUGACUGAAUCCUUCCUGCACAGGAGCAGGUGAACGGUCUGUCCUGGUGUGACUGCCCCAUUGCGUGGCCAGCUCAGGAUUAUAUGCAGUAUGCUCCUGGGAGACGUAUGUGCAUACGCUAGUGACUGAGAUUGAUGGAAAAGUAUCCACUGCUACAGUCCGUGUGGUGAAGCUACUCCCAGAUUGCUGUUUGGUGAAGAGUUACAGGAUUUUCAUCCAGUGGUGAUAAGGGUUUCACAUGUUUAAGGCCACAAAGACAAAGCUCUGAACAAAAACAAAGAACUACGGAUGCUGGAAAUCUGAAAUAAAAACAGAAAUAGCUGGUGACAGUCAGCAGGUCUGGCAUCAUCUGUGGAGGGAGAGUAGAGUCAACAUUUCCACCUGACGUUUGUUACAAAAAGCUCCAGUUUUCUUCUGGAGUUUGACACAGAAUCGUGUUUCCAAUUCAGCCAAUGAAGAAAAGUGAUUGGUUCACUCUGGAGGACCAACUUCUCCUGAUGGGUCCUCCAGACCUGCCC